GACGAACGCUGGCGGCGUGCUUAACACAUGCAAGUCGAACGCUGAAGCUUGGUGCUUGCACUGGGUGGAUGAGUGGCGAACGGGUGAGUAAUACGUGAGUAACCUGCCCUUGACUCUGGGAUAAGCCUGGGAAACUGGGUCUAAUACUGGAUACGACAUGUCACCGCAUGGUGGUGUGUGGAAAGGGUUCUACUGGUUUUGGAUGGGCUCACGGCCUAUCAGCUUGUUGGUGGGGUAAUGGCUCACCAAGGCGACGACGGGUAGCCGGCCUGAGAGGGUGACCGGCCACACUGGGACUGAGACACGGCCCAGACUCCUACGGGAGGCAGCAGUGGGGAAUAUUGCACAAUGGGCGGAAGCCUGAUGCAGCGACGCCGCGUGAGGGAUGACGGCCUUCGGGUUGUAAACCUCUUUCAGCACGGAAGAAGCGAAAGUGACGGUACGUGCAGAAGAAGCGCCGGCUAACUACGUG
rnacentral:rRNA from 1 species